ensembl:lncRNA
GGGGGAGGCGGGGGCCGUCCCGUCGGUUUCCGCGGGCGGGGGCGUAGGGCCGGGGGGAGCGGCCGGGGGAGCUCGGCGGCCGCCGUCUUACGACAGAUCCUGGAAAGAGGAUCAAGGUGGGGCCCGCCCCGCCGCGCACCGCCGGCAACCGACGGGGCGGCCCGGGCUCGGCCGCUGGGAGCACGGCGGAGAGCUGCAGGCGGCGAGGUGCCCUCCCGUCGGGGCCGCGCUGCGCUGCCCGGCCCGAGGGGCUGUUUACCCGGGCGGGGGGAGGCAGAUAAGGCGGAGGGGAAAUGCCGGGGCUGUUUGCUGAGGGAUUAGGGCCGGUCCCGCCGCGCCGGGGCCCGGGAUGGGGGUGGGGUGGGGGGGCGGCGGGCGCGGUGGGUGUCCCCGCGGAGAAGUCCGUUUGGAGAUCUGCGCUGAUUAACUGAGGGCUGCGGUGGCUGAAGAGGGCCCUGGCGCCAGGCGGCUGAGCCCUCACAAUAAAGACCCGUCUCUUGUCACUUCAUAUUUACCCCCAAAUCUUCAAAAAGCGCCCUGCGAUCCUUACAAGGCUCCUGCCCCCGCCGCCUGCGCUGCGGCCAGACGGGACGGGGACGGGGGGGCGGAGGCGGCCCCCUCCUCUGCCCACGGCUCCGCGGGUGCGCAGCGACGCGCUGCCUUCCUGGGGACCGCGCUGGGCCGCUCCCCGCGGAGGGUGAGACGCGGGGACCCCCGGCAGCCCUCUCCCCACCGCCACCUCUCCGCUGUUUCUCCCCACAUCGUGGUUCAUCGUGCUGCCAGCAAACCCCGGUGCUGCGAAGGGCCCGAGGAGAAGCCCCGGAGGCGGCCGCAUCCCGCCCCGUCCCGCGGCAGGUUCACCUCCAGCCGUCGCCUCCCGACGGGGCGGACACAGCGCGGCCACCGCGGAGCUGCCCUCACCGCCCCGGCCGCCGCGCGGGGCUGAGGGGGGUGUGUGUGUCUGGGGGGGGGGGGGGAUCGGUCCCGCUGACCAUUGAACGGGGCGAGGUGGCGAGCGGGGAUUGAAAUUUAGACCUCAUUUGGACUUUGCUUCCUCGCCACCGUCGAAAUGUGCUGACUGCAGCUUUGGCAAAAAUGGGGCUUGCUUGGGCUUUUUUUUUCCCUUUUUUUUUUCCCCCUCCCCUCCAAG